AAUGGUUGCAAGGGGUGGUGUUGCCACAAAGAUUCUCAGCUCCUGCUGGGGGUGGGUGGCAGAGGGAAGUCCAACAUGCAGACCGUGGCAAUGUCUUGAACUUAUCUUUAUUCAGAUCAUUGAAUAAGAGUCUGUCUCUUCUUCUGCAUUCCUGUCUUUCUGCAUGUGUGCGUGUGUGGGCUGGGUAGGGACUAUUUAUAAGUUCACUAUGCUGAAAUGAGGUAUUCUUGGUAAGGAUCUAGGAUGCACCUGCUCCUCAUUUCUUGAUUCCACCUUUUGCCAAUUCUUUUCUUACAAAUAAAAGAUUGCUUAGAGCAGUAGCGGCUAGCUGCCUUUUUUAAGUGUUCCUCAUACCAACAGAUACCCAGCACAUCAUUUUUCUCCUUUUCCCUAAUAGUAAGUUACAAGACUGAUGCCUGAUAACACAAAUAUUCGGUAAAAUUUAAGAUAAGGAUCUUACUAACAAUGAGUACCACAUACAGUAGUGGCUGGUAGAAUUAGAGAUAAACUUAAUAAAGCUAGCCCUAAACACUUACUGUUUUCCUCUGUGAAUUGAAUGACACUCUGGGGCACUGAGACAUGAUGUAAUGGAAGACAUCAGGCUAGAAAAUCACAUGAUCUUAAACUCACUGGAUUAUCUUUUGGAACCUUGUUUUCCUUAUCUGUGUGAUGGACCUAAUAUAACCAGGUACCUGUCCAGCCUACCUCACAGGGAUGUUGUGAGGAUAAUAAGAUCAAGCUAUGGAAUUGGCUUGAAAAAAAUUAAAGUGUUAAACAAAUGCAAGGUGGUAUUUUUAUUUUUAAUGUCGCCUCAAAGGCAGCUUGUGUUCAUGAGCUCUGUAAACUUUAGAGUCCUUGCAUGUUAGAAAUGUAAAAAUGGCCUAGCCCAGCAAAAGUGUUCACCAAUUCAUCUUGCCUACAGGCAUCAGCCUGUACCACGGACCGAACACUGUAAUCUCCCUUCUUUCUUACUGGCCUGCAACAGUGACUCUGGAUCCCCAAGCAGUUGGCUGGCUGUUGCAAAGCUGGUUAAUAGGAUCUUUUAUCUAUUGAAGACAGCAAAGUAUUGCACAAGAGGAAGGAGCUGGGCUGCAGGGAGAGAGCAGCAGAUGGAAAGAAGCCUUCUGAUUGUCCUGAUCUCAUGGAAAACAACUGUCAGGAGGUGCUAGGGAACUAGUGCCAGGGUCAGUCUGCAGGAAAGGCCUUUCUUAUAGGGACCAACAAGCUGGACAGGAUGGGGGCACCAGGGGGCGCCGCUGUGCCAUUGAAGCAGAUAUGAAGAUGAAAAAGUGAAGCUUCAGAGUAUCCUCAUUGAGCUGAACCUGAAGUAGAAGUAAACAAGAAAGAGCUUGGGCUUGUCGGCCCAGUUCCAGAAGUGGAAGAUACAGAAGAGGAGGCAUCUGGGCCAUGUGACAUGAGCUGGGGAAACUCUCUCAGAGAGUUGAAGUAGCACAAUUGCCUGUUUUAGGGCAAAAAUCAUGGGCUGUGUUAAUGUCCUAAUGCGUAGCUAGCAGAUUGUAGCUAGUUUGUACUGUCUUGUGAAGUGUACAGACUUUUUAAAACAAAAACAAAACACCUGUGAAGUGUAUAUGUAUACACAAUAAACUGAGAAAAGAAAACUUUA